rnacentral:rRNA from 1 species
UACGUAGGGUGCAAGCGUUGUCCGGAAUUAUUGGGCGUAAAGAGCUCGUAGGCGGUCUGUCGCGUCGGCUGUGAAAACCCGGAGCUCAACUCCGGGCCUGCAGUCGAUACGGGCAAACUGGAGUGUUGCAGGGGAGACUGGAAUUCCUGGUGUAGCGGUGAAAUGCGCAGAUAUCAGGAGGAACACCGAUGGCGAAGGCAGGUCUCUGGGCAUUAACUGACGCUGAGGAGCGAAAGCAUGGGGAGCGAACAGGA